rnacentral:sRNA from 1 species
GCUGGGUGUGGUGGCAUGCAUCUGUAAUCCCAGCCACUUGGGAGGCUGAGAUAGGAGGAUCACGAGUUCAAAGCCAGCCUCAGCAACUUAGUGAGACCCUGACUUAA